AAAAAGUCAAACCCUGAAUUUUCGUAUCCAACUUUGACUGUCCAUUUUAUAUGAAAUUUUUUUAUAAUUCAUAUUUUCAUUGUUGUUAGAUGAUAAAAUAUAAUUAAUAUUUUAUGUGUGACUUGUCUUUUUAAUUUUUUUUAUAAUUUUUUCAAAUAAGACGGACGGUCAAACGUUAGACACGGAAACC
rnacentral:pre_miRNA from 1 species